AAACUAACAAGGAUUCCCCUAGUAACUGCGAGUGAAGCGGGAAGAGCUCAAAUUUAAAAUCUGGCGGUCUCCGGCCGUCCGAGUUGUAAUCUGGAGAAGCGUUUUCCGCGUCGGACCGUGUACAAGUCUCUUGGAACAGAGCGUCAUAGAGGGUGAGAAUCCCGUCCAUGACACGGACUCCCGGUGCUUUGUGAUACGCUCUCGAAGAGUCGAGUUGUUUGGGAAUGCAGCUCAAAAUGGGUGGUAAAUUCCAUCUAAAGCUAAAUAUUGGCGAGAGACCGAUAGCGAACAAGUACCGUGAGGGAAAGAUGAAAAGCACUUUGGAAAGAGAGUUAAACAGUACGUGAAAUUGUUGAAAGGGAAACGCUUGAAGUCAGUCGCGUCGUCCGGGACUCAGCCUUGCUCUUGCUCGGUGUACUUCCCGUUCGACGGGUCAACAUCGAUUUUGACCGGCGGAUAAAGGCGGGGGGAAUGUGGCACCUUCGGGUGUGUUAUAGCCCUCUGUUGCAUGCGUCGGUCGGGAUCGAGGACCGCAGCGCGCCACUAGGCCGAGAGGUACGCCUCUACGUUACGCGCUUAGGAUGUGGCAUAAU
rnacentral:rRNA from 1 species